rnacentral:lncRNA from 1 species
GCCGCCUCCUCGCCCGCCCGCCCGCAGCCGAGGAGCCGAGGCCGCCGCGGCCGUGGCGGCGGAGCCCUCAGCCAUGGCCUCGGGCGACACCCUCUACAUCGCCACGGACGGCUCGGAGAUGCCGGCCGAGAUCGUGGAGCUGCACGAGAUCGAGGUGGAGACCAUCCCGGUGGAGACCAUCGAGACCACAGUGGUGGGCGAGGAGGAGGAGGAGGACGACGACGACGAGGACGGCGGCGGUGGCGACCACGGCGGCGGGGGCGGCCACGGGCACGCCGGCCACCACCACCACCACCAUCACCACCACCACCACCCGCCCAUGAUCGCUCUGCAGCCGCUGGUCACCGACGACCCGACCCAGGUGCACCACCACCAGGAGGUGAUCCUGGUGCAGACGCGCGAGGAGGUGGUGGGCGGCGACGACUCGGACGGGCUGCGCGCCGAGGACGGCUUCGAGGAUCAGAUUCUCAUCCCGGUGCCCGCGCCGGCCGGCGGCGACGACGACUACAUUGAACAAACGCUGGUCACCGUGGCGGCGGCCGGCAAGAGCGGCGGCGGCGGCUCGUCGUCGUCGGGAGGCGGCCGC